rnacentral:rRNA from 1 species
UACGGAAGGCAGCAGUGGGGAAUAUUGCACAAUGGGCGCAAGCCUGAUGCAGCCAUGCCGCGUGUAUGAAAAAGGCCUUCGGGUUGUAAAGUACUUUCAGUCGUGAGGAAGGUGUUAAGGUUAAUAACCUUAGCAAUUGACGUUAGCGACAGAAGAAGCACCGGCUAACUCCGUGCCAGCAGCCGCGGUAAUACGGAGGGUGCGAGCGUUAAUCGGAAUUACUGGGCGUAAAGGGCACGCAGGCGGUUAAUUAAGUUGGAUGUGAAAUCCCCGGGCUUAACCUGGGAAUGGCAUUCAAGACUGGUUAGCUAGAGUCUUGUAGAGGGGGUAGAAUUCCAUGUGUAGCGGUGAAAUGCGUAGAGAUGUGGAGGAAUACCGGUGGCGAAGGCGGCCCCUGGACAAAGACUGACGCUCAUGUGCGAAAGCGUGGGGAGCAAACGAGGGAUUAGAUAC